rnacentral:rRNA from 1 species
AUAGCCUACGGGGGGCAGCAGUAGGGAAUUUUCGGCAAUGGGGGGAACCCUGACCGAGCAACGCCGCGUGAACGAAGAAGUUAUUCGUAAUGUAAAGUUCUUUUAUCAGGGAAGAAAGAGGAAUUUGACGGUACCUGAGGAAUAAGCUCCGGCUAACUACGUGCCAGCAGCCGCGGUAAUACGUAGGGAGCGAGCGUUAUCCGGAUUUACUGGGUGUAAAGGGAGCGUAGACGGCCAGACAAGUCUGAAGUGAAAAUCCAGCGCUUAACGUUGGAAGUGCUCUGGAAACUGCCGGGCUAGAGUGC